ACUCUUCUUUUACUCAUCAAGAUUUUGUUUUGUAUAAUUUUUUGAUAUAAUUCUCUGUUUGGUAAUCGAGAGACGCGUUUAUCGGUUUUGCAGCAGGCUAAGAGCUUCCGAUGUCUAGAAUGCGUUCAUAAAAUGGACAAGAGCCAGAGCCAAUAGUUUUAAUUUGGUGAUCUCUAGUAAAUUCUUUUUGUUUCAAUCUUUAUCGAUUUUGAGAGCAUAAACUUCAUGAUUUGUUAUUUAUUCUUAGGUGUUGCUGGAGAGGAUAUGAUUUUGAUUUACGUCUGGAUAUGCGCUCAUAAUUUCACACAAUCAAACUUCUCUUGACUCUUCUUUUACUCAUCAAGAUUUUAUUUUGUAUAAUUUUUUGAUAUAAUUCAUUGUUUGAUAAUCGAGAGAUGUGUUUAUCCGUUUUGCAGUGGGCUAUGAAGUUUCGAUGGAAUGCCUUGAUAAAAUGGACAAGAACAUGGAGCGUAAAGUUUUAAUUUGGUGAUCUCUAGUAAAUUCUUUUUGUUUCCAUAUAGUUUUUUUUAUAUAACUUGUCAAACUAUUGAAAAUAAAAGAAUAUCAAAAUAUCCGUUUAUACAUUGCAGCGAGCUGAUUUCUGGAUAUCUCGAACAAUUUGGGAUUAUAAUGAAUAAGAACGAUAAUAGCUGCUAUAGAUGCAUAAUCAAAUUUCCUCAAUCAUUCGUUCUUUAUUAUUUUAUUUUUUUGGGCUUUGAUUACCAUACACUCAAAUUGAAUCGUGAAUCUGUUUUUCUGCAGCAUGGUUUGUCAAAAUCAAAAAAAUGUUGAUCUUUCAUCAAGGCAUCGAGACCUCAAGUUUUGAUUUGGUUCUCUCUUUUAAAAUAUUCUAGUUUUCAAUAACUCCAUCGCUUUCGAAUGCAUAUUUUCUUGAUAUUAUAUUUCCUUUGAUGUGAACACUGAUUUCUUCUGGUUCUAUCUUUCUUUUGUUUGAUCUUCAUGUUUUGUAUUCUUAUUCUUUUCAGGUCUUUUGAUUUGGUUCUGGCUUAGACCGCCGUACAUGUGAAUUGAAAUAUGACAUGCUGUUUUCUGCAGUGUAGUGUGUUUUGAAACAAUAACAUUCUAAGUAGCAUCAAGCCUCAGGUUCAUUUUGCUACCAUGUACUUGGGUUGUGAACUAUUUUUAUUUUCAUUUCUAUUCUUAUUGUCUAGUCCAUUUACUUCUUUGUUCUAUGUUUGGCUUUUUUAUCUGAAUUCUGACAGUGCAAAAGUUUACAUGAUUCUUUAGGAGUUGGGACAACUUGGUGGUCCUCUCUUUGUAAUGUGGAUCCGCGACUUGGUUUGAAGAAUUAUGCAACUAUUCUUUCUUUCUUCUUGUUUAUUAUUUUACAACUUAUUUUUCACAGCGUAAUCUUUCUGUAAAUGUAUCAUGUGGUGUUGGUAGAGCAAGUUUUACAUGGGUUUGGUGUAUUACAAAAGUCUUCAUCUUUCUCAAUCACACUGCACCUUUUCAAUUCGCCGUCUGAAAUGUAGAAUAUUGGAGAUGAGUUUCUUUGCCGGAUUAUGAAUUCUUUACGUUUCAUUAUAUCCGUUUCAGCAUCUCCACACUUCUCGAUUCCUUUGUGAAAGCUUAGAGAGAGGUUAUCUUAGACUCUCCCUUUUUUAUCUUUGGCAAAUAACUUGUCAUUUUUAAGUUAUAUGUAUUUCUUCCAGUGGUGAAGUUUUUGUGUUUCUGUAUCCGUAACUUCAGAUUUACUCCGUGGUUUUGCACACAACUUCUGGAGUAACUCUUCCCUUCCUAACGAUUUAGGAAUUUUGGACAACUUGGUUAUGGAGAGAUGAUAUUCUUCUACAGUUAUUUGUUGGCUAUGUUAAUUUUACUUCAUUGUUUCUCUGUUGAUUCUUGUUGUUUACUCUCUCGAUUUACAGGAGAGAAAUAAAUGAAUGUGCAACUAUGGCGGUGAUUAUAAUUGGUUGGGGGUUUGCUUGAAUACUACUUAUUAAGCAUCUUUCAUAGUGUAUAUUUUCUGACAAUUGCUUUAAUAAUAUUUUUUUUCAAGUUUAUUUCAUUCUUGAGAAUCUGUGUAUAUUUGUCAAGACCCGAUACUAACUCAUAUUUAGUCUGCUAAGCCUAGCCUAUACACUUUGUUAACUUUUCCUCUCUUCUGGAAUUAAUUUGGUAAUUCAAAUUUAGAUUUGAACAUCUCUGUUGGGAUUAUUCUUUGCAAGUUAUGGCGAGAUUAUCAGAUAAUGGUGAUUCAUCAUUGGGAUGUAAUUGGUUCUUUUUAUCACAUGUAUAUGUAUUUUGUGUUUCUUCCAUUGUUGAAUUUUUAUUUGUUUUUGUAUCCAGAACCUGAGUACUCUGACAAAGAUUAGAAGAUUUUGGAAUGACACUUUGGUCUUUCCCAAGAUGAGGAAUUUUGGACAGCUUGGAUACAUAAACUUGAUUCUGAUGAUUUGUUUGUUAGGGCCAGAUAACAUAACUUUGUCGGGGGAGGUUUUCUAAAUCUUCUUUACCUUUUUUUUUGUGUGAUUAGUGAUUUAUGAUGAUGAUACACCUAAAAUAAUACCCUCUUCAUUAUAGUGGCCAAAGGACUCCUCUGUAUUAGGUGGAAGCCAAAAUUGUAUCAUUUAAUAUGGCUACAUGAUCUUGCAAAUUGGAUGGAUUACAUUUCAGUCUUUUUUUGAUACUCAACAUAUACUUUUAUCAGUUCCUGAGUUUUCUUUGUGGGUGUUACAGGGGAGAGAGCCUAUAAAUAUGUGCUUUACUGUGGAACCCAUGGCAGACAGAGGCUCACUGUAUUUUUUUACUUGGUUACUUUGGUCUCCUGAUGUUGAGGUUUGAUUUGGUUCAUAUUUUAAUGACCCCUGCGCCUACUAUGAAUUUUUUGGGUUUUAAUUGAUUGCUCUUCCAAUUCACGUUUGAUUAUGUGUCUACUCUUUUUGAUAUUACUUGUCAUUCAAUAAAUUUGCUAUCAUUGUUAAAAAUAAGAAGAAUUUUGAGAUAUUCGUUGAUCCAUUUUUGCAGCGAGCUUAUUUCUGAUUUUUGGAUAUCUGGAACAAUUUGCAAUUCUUGAUGAUAAUGAAUACGAAUGAUGAUAAUGGCUACUGGCUACAUACAUAGAUCAAAUUUCUUUGAUGAGUCGUUCUUUAUUAUUUUUAUUUUGGAGCUAUAUUCUUCGAUCGUGUACAAGUUGGUGUUGAAGUUUUUGUGUUUCUUCCAGUGUUGAAUUUUUAUUUGUUUUUGUAUCCAGAACCCGAAUACUCUAACAAAGAUUAGAAGAUUUUCGAAUGACUCUUUUGUCUUUCCCAAGAUGAGGAAUUUUGGACAACUUGGAUACAUAAACCUGAUUCUGAUGAUUUGUUUGUUAGGGUUAACUCAACUUUGUCCGGGGAGUGGCCAAAGGACUCCUCUGUAAUAGGUGGAAGCCAAAAUUGUAUUAUUUAAUAUGGCUACACGAUCUUGCAAAUUGGAUGGAAAUUUGGUCAACUCUUCUAAGAAUCUUUACAGUUCAAUCUUUUUUUGAUACUCAGGAUAUACUAUUGUUAGUUCAUGAGUUUUUUUUUGUGGGUGUUGCAGGGGAGAGAGCCUAUAAAUAUGUGCUUUACUAUGGAACCCAUGGCAGACAGUAGCUCACUAUUUUUUUUACUUGGUUACUUUGUUCUCCUGAUGUUGAGGUUUGAUUUGGUUCAUAUUUUAAUGUUCUGCACCUACUAUGAAUUGUUUGGGUUUUAAUUGAUUGCUCUUCCAAUUCUCGUUUGAUUAUAUGUGUACUCUUUAUUACAUAAUUGAUCAUUCAAUAAAUUUGCUAUCGUUGUUAAAAUAAAAUGAAUAUCUGAUAUUCGUUGAUCCAAUUAUGCAGUGAGCUUAUUUCUGAUUUUUUAUAUCUGGAACAAUUUGCAAUUCUCGAUGAUAAUGGCUACAAAUACAUAGAUCAAAUUUCUUUGAUGAGUAAUUCUUUAUUAUUUUUACUUUUGAGCUUUGAAUGUAAGGCAAAUAUUGAAUUUUGUGUACCUGUUCUUAUGCAGUUUGGUUUUGUCAAAAUAAUGAUGUUCUUUUAUAGACAGAAAUUGAAUUUUGUGUAUCUGUUCUUAUGCAGUGUGGUUUUGUCAAAAUAAUGAUGUUCUUUCAGAGACAUCUCAUUUAUUUUUUAAUGAAUGCAACAAAAUGUGCUAGGUGAAUGGGCAUUUGCUUAAUUUGAGAGGAAUGCAUUCUGAUCACCGAAUUGGUUUGGAGAAUUAUGCUACUAUUAUUUCUUUAUUCUUGGUUUUUUCUACAGCUAUUUGUCACGUCGUAAUUUUGCUGUACAUGUCUGGUGUUCACAGGGUUGCAUGGAUUUGGUUUAUUUCACAAGUGUCCCUUCUCAAACUCUGCAACAUGUUAAUUUUUAUGUCCGAAGUGAAGAAAUUGGAGAUGAGUACCUCUGCGAUACAUUUUUCUGUCUGUGUUAUAUAUUUUCAACUAUGGCUUAUUUGACAAUCUGAAUUUAGAUUUGAACAUUUCUGCAUUCAUGCUUCUCAAUUCUUCUCUGAAAUCUUGGCAAGAUUAUCAUUAUUCAUCAUUAUAUAAUUGGUCUUUUUUUAAAUAUGUAUAUGAAUAUGUAUUUUGUUUUCGAAUAAUUGUUCUUAGAUUGUGUACAAGCUGGUGUCGAAAUUUGUGUGUUUCAGUAUUCGGAACCUGAGUACACGAUUCUGGAAAAAAUAUUUGCUCUUCCCAAGAUGAAUUAUGGACGACUUGGUUACAUUGUAGGUUUGUUUGUUCUGAUGAUUUGUUCGUGAGGAGAGGUUUUCUAUAAUCUUCUUUCACUGGUUUCUAUUGUUAUUUGUGAUUUAGAUGAUGUAGAUGAUGAUACUCUUAAAAAGAUAUCCUUUUCAUUACAGUGGCCUGGGACUCCCUCCUCUCUAUUAGGAGGAAGCCAAAAUUAUGUCACACAUAAUCUGCAGGCUUUAAUUUGGUUAUCUCUUCUAAGACACUUUACAUUUCAGUCUAUGUUUGAUAAUGAACAUCUACUUUUGAGUUUUCUCAUACUUCCCAUUAAACUAGUCAUUUUUUUUUACUUGUGUGUAUGUGUUUCUUGAUUUGGGAUAUGACUUUUUGUGCUCUAGGAACGUGAGUAUGAAGCAUCUUUUUAUCCCUCCCCUAAAGAUAAGGAAUUCUUGACAGCUUAGUUUGACACUUUUUUGUAAUGUUGAUUUGUCACUUCCUUUGUUACAAUUUAUUCUUUUAUUUUCUUUGCCUUUGUUAUAAUUUUUUUCUUCUUUUUAUCUUUUCAUUCGUCUCUUUCAUUUGUGUUACUUCCUUUGUUAUACUGGGGAGAGAACUAUGAAUGUACUGUGGGGAUUCAAAAGUUGUGGUGAAAAUUGGAAGUACUGCCUUUGGAUUAAACAGUCAUUUUUUUCUUGAAUGUACUUGUUUUGAAUGGGGUCCUAUGAUAGUGUAAUGUGGCAAUGUUGAUUUGAAUAUUAGGAGAGCUUCAUCAUUUAUGAUUAUGUAGUACAUGUCUAUCUCUCUCUUGGAUAAUCGGGAUACACAUCCUGUUUUUCAGUGAGUUGAAGUUUGAAUAUCUUGUUUGUAGAUACUUGAUACAAUUAGAUAAGAAAGGUGAGGACAGUUAAUUCAUAUUUCUUCAAUGAGUUGCUAUUUACUAUUUUUAUUUUCAGACUUUGUUAUAAGACAUACUAAAUGAAUUGUGAACAACUUUUCUUCUAGUGUUGAAAUUUUUGUGUUUCUUCAUGUUGGAGCUGGAGCCGAAGUUUUUGUGUUUCUUCUUGUGUUGAAGUUGUGUGUUUUAGUGUCCAAAACUGGAGUACUAGUCUGUCAUAGGGUAAGAGAUUCUGGAAUAACUCUUUGCCCUUCCCACGAUGAGAAAUUUUGGACAAUUUGGUUAUGUGAUAUAUGCUGUUUGCUGUGACAAUUUAACUUUGUUGAGCGAUGUUUUCCAUGAUUUUCUUAUGCUGCUUUUAUUUGUGAUUGGUGAUGAUAAUGAUGAUACUCCUUGAAAUAUAUCAUCCAUUCCUCUUCAUUACAGUCUUUACAUGUAUUAGGAGGAAGCCAAAAUUGUCUCAUUUCACAUGUAUGGGUAAAUGACCUUGCAAAUUGGAUGGAUGUAUCAUCUCCAGCAUUUCAUAUGUAUGGGUACAUGACCUUUCAAAUUGGAUGGAUGUAUCAUCUCCAGCAGGCUUUAAUUUGGUCAUCUCUUAGACUCUUCACAUUCACUUCUGUGUAUUAAAGCAAUAAUUUGGUAAAAAAAAUACAUUUUUAUAACAAAAGCUUUAAUUUGGAUCACUUCACAUGUAUUUCCACAAGUUUAUAUUGUUUAGUUUCCAUGUGAAGCUUUUUUAUUGUUCUUGCAAUUAAUUUGAUUCAUAAUUCAGGUAUUUUGUUUUGUGCUUUCUCUAGGUCCACAGGAAUUACCUUCUGUUUUUGUAACUUUUCUUGCAUGGAGCAUAGCCGAGGCCCUUCCAUUUAUAAAGAAGAAGAAUAUCUAUGCAGAUUUCUUUUCAAGCCUCCCAUUUAAUUAUUAUGAUUUCUUUAAG